rnacentral:rRNA from 1 species
AGGGAAUCUUCCACAAUGGACGGAAGUCUGAUGGAGCAACGCCGCGUGAGUGAUGAAGGUUUUCGGAUCGUAAACUCUGUUGGAAGGGACAGACCAGGAAGGCAGGCAACUGAACUAACUUUGACGUUCCUUAUUAGGAAGGCAACGCCAACUUACUGCCAGCAGCCGCGGUAAUACGUAGGUGGCAAGCGUUGUCCGGAAUUAUUGGGCGUAAAGCGCGCGCAGGUGGUUUCUUAAGUCUGAUGUGAAAGCCCACGGCUUAACCGUGGAGGGUCAUUGGAAACUGGGAGACUUGAGUGCAGAAGAGGAAAGUGGAAUUCCAAGUGUAGCGGUGAAAUGCGUAGAGAUUUGGAGGAACACCAGUGGCGAAGGCGACUUUCUGGUCUGCAACUGACGCUGAGGCGCGAAAGCAUGGGGAGCAAACA